GUGGGAUCGCGUGAAAGGUCAGGAGGGCGAAAAUAGGGGAAUACGAAGAUGAGAUGACUGGUACAAUCGGGAGAAGAGGGAUUCGCAAUUAGGGAGGAUGAUCUUCAGCCCCUUUUUAUUGCGCAAUUGAAGACGAGAAGGAAAAUUUGACAAUGGCUCCGUCUAUAUCACGUACAAAUAAAGAAGGUAUCUAAUGGACGGGGAACGGAGAUAAUAUGCGGUAUAUAAUACAAUACAUGAAAUAUCAAAA
rnacentral:sRNA from 1 species